GCCUAUGCCUUUGUUUAGACAAGGCCAAGUGGUGGGUGCUUGGAGACACCUGCUUUCCACCUAGAUGUUUGGCCCUGGGGAAUACACAGAAGAUUUGUCACAAGGACUGGGAGAACCUCUCUUCAUAGAAGCCCUGAUCAGGUUGCCUGCUGUUGUCACGAGAGUGAAUGAAUGGUGUCUGGGUUCCGUCCCCUCGAUGCAGUGAUUUUGGACCUGCAGUAGCUACAGUACUCCUCUCCAAGGGGCAAUCCCCUCCCUCCAGAGACGACUGCCAGGCAACUCAGGACUAGUGUGGGAACUUCUGCUCGUCCUCACUGAAAGCUCCCUGGCCAGGCCCCUGCUCCUGGCGCAUGGUGAUGUAACUGAGACUCAGAGAGGACAAGUGAUCAUCCCAAGGUCACCCUUCCAGGAAGUGGCAGCAUCAGGACCAGGGCCCCAGCCUGAGUUUAAGUCACACACUUCUUCCUGCUGCCAAGAUUCUCAUCCACAGAAGAGAGAACAAGAGGUUUCCCUGCUGGGGGCUUCCCCAGUGGCGCCGUGGUUAAGAAUCUGCCUGCCAAUGCAGGGGACACGGGUUUGAGCCCUGGCCCGGAAGAUUCCACAUGCCACGGAGCAACUAAGCUCGUGCGCCACAACUACUGAGCCUGCACUCUAGAGCUUGCGAGCCACAACUACUGAAGCCCGUGCGCCCUAGAGCCUGUGUGCUGCAACUACUGAGUCCACGUGCUGCAACUACUGAAGCCCGUGUGCUGCAACUACUGAAGCCCGUGUGUCUAGAGCCUUUGCUCUGCAACAAGAGAAGCCACCGCAUUGAGAAGCCCGAGCACUGCAAUGAAGAGUGCCUUGUGA